rnacentral:lncRNA from 1 species
UUUGGAUGUGCUUUGAGGAAUCAGGAAUGCAAGUGUUUCCUCUUGUUUAUGAAGCAACCCAGUUGGUUAAGGGGCAGACAACUUGUGAGCAUGGUAAAUCACUACCUGUAUUGGUAUUCCAUUUUGACAAUGUUACUAGCUAGAUGGAAAUAACAUUCUGCUGUGGUACAGUCUGUGGAGACUUUUACUAGGAUAUCACAGAUGGAUUGAAUAUUCAACAAUGAUCACAGACCAUGCAAAGUUUGAAUCUGACUUGCACUUUUGAAUUUAGAAGAAUCUGGGGAGGAGGGUGAAUGCUGAGACCUUAAAUAAUACAUGAUAUUGCUGACACAGUGUGUCAGUCAUGAAGGAAAGGCCAUGACACUGCACAGUUGGUCAACAAUGAUUUAAAUCCUGUCACAUUCUACCAGUGAAGAAAUAUCUUAUCACAAUAUUUUAAACUUUUGAAGAAGAUAACCCAGUAUUACCACUUUAUCAUGUCUGCAGA